GCAGAUAAAAUAUAGGAGUACAUUUCACCGAACGUGACCAACAUCGGAGCACUCUGCUGUCAAGAGUUACUCCAAAGGGAUAUGGGUAUAAGUGUCCCUCUAAUUUGAAAUCACCACGGUGACUGCAAGCAGCUCAUUGUGCUUUGGUGCUGCACAACCUAAAUUUUUAAUUUAGGAUCAGAAGGUUUUUGGGCACAGUCAAGAACUUGUGA
rnacentral:lncRNA from 1 species